rnacentral:rRNA from 1 species
GAUGAACGUUGGCGGUGUGUCUAAUACAUGCAAGUCGAGGGGUAGCAAGAUUGUAGCAAUACAAUUGUUGACGACCGGCAAACGGGUGCGGAACACGUACACAACCUUCCUACAAGUGGGGAAUAGCCCAGAGAAAUUUGGAUUAAUACCCCGUAACAUAGCGAUGUGGCAUCACAUUGCUAUUAUAGCUUCGGCGCUUGUUGAUGGGCGUGCGGCUGAUUAGAUAGUUGGCGGGGUAACGGCCCACCAAGUCUACGAUCAGUAGCUGAUGUGAGAGCAUGAUCAGCCACACGGGCGCUGAGACACGGGCCCGACUCCUACGGGAGGCAGCAGUAAGGAAUAUUGGACAAUGGACGCAAGUCUGAUCCAGCCAUGCCGCGUGAAGGAUUAAGGUCCUCUGGAUUGUAAACUUCUUUUAUAAGGGACGAAAAAAGGUCUUUCUAGAUCGUCUGACGGUACCUUAUGAAUAAGCACCGGCUAACUCCGUGCCAGCCGCCGCAGUAACAC